rnacentral:tRNA from 1 species
GCCUCCGUGGCGGAAUUGGUAUACGCGUACGGUUUAGGACCGUAUUCCGUAAGGAUUAGAGGUUCAAGUCCUCUCGGAGGCA